CUCGUCUCUCCUCCAAAAAGUCAAAUUAGUAUGGACGGGAUUUCUUUGGAAUAUCACUGACCUUUAAACAAAAAAAAAAAAAAAAAGAAAGAAAGAAAAAAUAUCUAGAUGGUCAUCAAACAUUUAAUAUUUGGAUGGUGCUCUGAGCUCCAAUAAUACUAGCGGUUGAAGCAAUAGUUUUUGACAUUAUGUUUGAACAACAAUAACAUAUUCACAUCCUCUGGUUUGGGUUCCAUAAACCAGAGGGAGAAAAGACGCUUUAAUUAAUUUGCUAUGGCCUGAGCUGUAAAAAAUCCAAUAAUAAUAAUCUUGAAGAAUGCGGGAGGAAGCUGUUGUGCCUGUGGAUAUAAUUGAUGAUAUGAGCAGUGAAAAUGAUGAUAUUGAUGAUGAAGAACAACAUAUCUCUGAUCAGCCUGCAGGCCAAUUAGCUUGUCCUCUUGACCUGAAAUCUUCAAGACUAAACGCUUUGCUUAGAUUACGAUGUAGGGUUGAAGAUGCCAUUCUUGGUGGUUACAUUUACGGCAAAAAUAAACACAAGUUGCUCUCUUCCAGAUUAUGUAUUACAGAAAAUUUGAGGGAAAUUUCUUUAUCUAUGGCGAGCAAUAUCAUAUAUCUGAUCAGCCUGCAGGCCAAUUAGCUUGUCCUCUUGACCUGAAAUCUUCAAGGAUAAACGCUUUGCUUAGAUUACGAUGUAGGGUUGAAGAUGCCAUUCUUGGUGGUUACAUUUACGGCAAAAUUAAACACAAGUUGCU
rnacentral:lncRNA from 1 species